rnacentral:rRNA from 1 species
AAUAUUGGUCAAUGGGCGGGAGCCUGAACCAGCCAUGCGGCGUGCGUGACGAAGGCCCUAUGGGUCGGAAACCGCCUUUACACGGGAACAACCGCAUCUACGAGUAGCUGCCUGAGGGUACCGUGGGAAUAAGGAUCGUCUACCUCCGUGCCAGCAGCCGCGGUAAUACGGAGGAUCCAAGCGUUAUCCGGAAUCAUUGGGUUUAAAGGGUCCGUAGGCGGCCUUAUAAGUCAGCGGUGAAAGUUUUUGGCUUAACCAAAAAAUUGCCGUUGAUACUGUAGGGCUUGAAUUUUUGUGAAGUAACUAGAAUAUGUAGUGUAGCGGUGAAAUGCUUAGAUAUUACAUGGAAUACCAAUUGCGAAGGCAGGUUACUAACAAACGAUUGACGCUGAUGGACGAAAGCGUGGGUAGCGAACAG